UGCCAGCAGCCGCGGUAAUACGAAGGGUGCGAGCGUUAAUCGGAAUUAUUAGGUUUAAAGGGUCCGCGGGCGGGAUUUUAAGUCAGUGGUGAAAGCCUACAGCUCAACUGUAGAACUGCCAUUGAUACUGAUAUCCUUGAGUGUGGUUGAAGUGGGCGGAAUAUGUCAUGUAGCGGUGAAAUGCUUAGAUAUGACAUAGAACACCAAUUGCGAAGGCAGCUCACUAAGCCAUUACUGACGCUGAGGGACGAAAGCGUGGGGAGCGAACAGGAUUAGAUA
rnacentral:rRNA from 1 species